rnacentral:misc_RNA from 1 species
GCAAACUGAGAGUAAGUUGUUUGUUAUUGUAGUAUCUACUAAAUCCACAUUCAAUGGGAUCCUCAAAAGUCCCUCUGAAUCAUAACCGUCCAAUUUCACCACCGAAGGGUUCUCACUUGACUACACGUGCUGCCCAUCUUUUUUUUCCUUUUUAAUGUUUUGCUUCCAUGCAUGAAAUUCUCCUCCUACUACAGCACAAAAACAAAGAGAAACAGUCAUGUUUUGCUUUGAUUCUUCUUUAUAGAACCCCUUCAUCACCAUCAUUAGCGACCCAUCAUCAUCCUCUUCAAAAGCUUUGAUUUUCUCCGCUAUGAGAAUUGCCUGUUAAUUUCUUUUUCAUCUUUUCUUGUUUUAGCUUUCAAGAGAGGCUAAAUGUGUGUGUACUUGAGAAAUGGGAUUUGAAGGGCCUCUUUUGGUUGUUCUGAUCUUGUACUUUACAAAAACUGUCACAUCUCUCAACGCUUUUGAUUCUUCUGAUCAAUCAGUAGUGACAAAGAAAAUAAACUUCGUGAUCUGUUGUCUCUGUUUCUCGAUCUGAAUUUUAUUUUUGCUGCUGCUUUCUCUGCUUAGUAUGAUUUUGGGUCUUCUUUCAAUCAUGAAAAAUGCUGCAUCUUUGAAGGCUUCAGGUAAGGUAUGAGUUACUGAUCUGCCAUCCUUCACUGGGUAUUUUUGAUUUUGUGCAAUCAGAUCAAUCAUGGAAGCAAAUCCGAAGAAAAAAUUGUUCAUCUGUAAGUUUUGUAACAAGAGGUAUCCUUGUGGCAAGUCUUUGGGUGGUCAUAUUAGGAUCCAUCUGAAUGGGAAUGGGAAUUCAAUUGAUAUAGAAGAAGAUGACGUCAAGCUCAACUCAAUCAAGUCUUUUGCUGCUGUCGAUGGAAGCAACAGCAAGAGGGACUCUGAGCCUGAAGCGGGUGCCCAAUCUGGUUAUGGUCUUAGAGAGAACCCCAAGAAGACUAGGAGGUUUUUGCUGGAUUCAAAAAACAGUAGUUUUCUGCAAGAAAAGGUGUGCAAGGAAUGUGGUAAAGGGUUUCAAUCAUUGAAAGCUCUCUGUGGUCACAUGGCUUGUCACUCUAAGAAUAGCUUUGAAGAUCACUCAGAGCCUACUGAGAAGCUCAAAGAUCAAGUUAUGGAUAGCCAAUCUGAUACUGAGACAUCGACUCCUAGUAAGCGAAAGAGAUCCAAAAGGAUGAGGUACAAGACUAUUGGUGUUUACUCUUCUUCAAUUUUUUUGGCCAAUGGUUCUAUGUCUUCUGCUUCUGAUAUAGAGCAAGAGCAAGAAGAAGUUGCUAUGUGUUUGAUGAUGUUGUCUAAGGAUUCUGGUUUUAAAGGUUGUUUUAGUUCGAUUGCAGAUUCCUCAGAUAACAAUUCUGCGGUUUUAGAGACCAAAUCAUCGUCUCCCAAAAUGAAAAUUAGUGUAAAGAAUGGGGUUAAUUGUGUGUAUGAUGAUGAUAGGAUUUUGGAGAUGAAGAAAGCAAAGCAACAGGAAAUGUUGUCAAUUGAAAAUGAUCACUCUGACAAUUCUGAUUCUGGGUAUUUUAGAAAUGGACCCAAAAGAGUUGAAUCUGAUAUUUCUGUUCAUAGAUUUACUGGGAACGAUGAAUUCAAGAAGCAUAAAGUGGAAUUUGAGUCUAGAUUUGGAGAGGACUUCGAUCCUGAAUUGGGGAAGAGAUUAAGCAGGUUUAGGCGAAUUAAAAUGGAAUUGCGGAAGGAUCUUACUGAGGAAGACAGAUAUGAUGAAGCUGAUAGAGCUCCACUGAAGUAUGAUUCAAGAAAGAGAGGCAAGAACGAAUCUUACCAUACUGAAUUUCUUAGCAGCAAUGCUUCAAAGACAGCAGGAGGACACAGGACCAACCAUAAAAAGACUACCAUUUGUAGUGACAGAGUUUAUGGGAGUGGUGAGAACAGCAUAGAUAGUAACUGUGUUCCUAGUCCAUUGCCUAGUGGUAGUAUUAGCAGUAAGAAAAUCAAAUCUUGCAGUGGGAAAAACCCAAUUGAGCAUAAUUUGUCUGGAAGUUCAGAGAAAAAAUUGGGUUUCAGAAAAGUCAAAGUACAUGAAUGCCCAUUUUGCUUUAAGGUUUUCCGGUCAGGUCAAGCUUUAGGCGGUCACAAGAGGUCCCAUUUCGUUGGAGGUGCUGAGGAUAGAACUGUGGUGAUUAAACAAGAAGUGCCUAAGAUAUCGAUGCCUGGAUUAAUUGAUCUCAAUCUUCCAGCUCCAAUGGAAGAAGAUUCAAAUGGGUAUUAUAUUCCAACAUGGUAAUUCUCGAAUUUCUGCAAGUGGGUAAGCCUAACAGAAAUCGGUUUUCGAUGAAGAUUCCAGGGAAGAUAAAAGUGUAAAGGCAGGUUGGUGAAUGUUUUUAGUUGUUUUGCUUCAGAUUCAAGGAUGUCUUACAGAGGUAACGUUUCAUUUGUUGCUUAAGAAAUGGAAGAAGCAUCAUCUUUUUUUUAUUUUUUUUUUGGAGGCCCUUAAAUUCGUAGACCCUUUUGCUUUGGUGAACAUAGAUAUAAUAUUUUUGAAUACCAAGUUUCUUUCUUUGCUGUUAUUCCUGAUUGUAUGCUACUUGAUUUCUUCAUUUUAAUUUUUUUUAUAUAUGGGUAAUGCAACCAUUAACUUUUGAGUUCAAGAUCUCAUCAUCAUCUUUUGAGGGAAGAGAAAACAGGUGGUGUGUGUGUGGAUGAUCAUUUAGGAAGCAAAGAUCAAGUACCAACAGGCAAACAUUGUCCCACCAACUGAAA